rnacentral:lncRNA from 1 species
AGCUUUAGUCGGCAAAUCCAAUGGUGUCUCCGUAAUAAUACAAAUGCACAGACAACCAUACAAAUAGUAUUUACUGUUCAAAUUCAGAUAUAUAUACAUACGUGCACCUAAUUUUGUUAGGUUUAGGUAGAAAAAAUCUCACCCAAAACCACACUUUCAAGACACUCUAACGUCACUACAUGCUUUCUGACAUCAGGUAAAUUUUCGAAACUUCUCUCGAAAAUGAAAAUUGAGAACUUAGAUUUAUAUGAAGUUAUAAUUCUGAGAUUUUUGUAUUAGAAUAAACCUUAUGAAAUUGAGAUAUAAUGGUUAUGUUGUGUGAUGCUAGAAGUUCGUAUUUUUUGAUUUGUGUGUUUCAUUAAUACUGAUUGGUUUUGAUAUCAUGUAAUUUGGCUGAUUUUUUUUCCUUUUCCCUUUUUGUUACUGGCUUAUAGAUCUGAAGAAACUGAAGGUUAGCGUGGUGAUAGUAGAUAAAUCUGGUAGCGAUUUUGUUCUGCUCAGAUCUGAUGG